rnacentral:lncRNA from 1 species
UCAAAAUAUUCCGAUACAUGCCACUGGUAAAAGUGUAUUGCUUUUUACCUAGGUGGUCUGGACUCCCUGCGACUCAAAAUAAAAAGCAUGCGGGAGCCAUUUCCGAGGCUAAUUGAAGCGGAUGAAGAGGAGACAUCAUCGAGGAAGAAAGAAUUGCAGGAGCAGCCCACAAGCAGGAUAACAAAAAGGAAGAGGCUGGAAGCCGCCAGCAUUUUGCACGAGCGCAUAAUUGCUCAAUCGGACAAUGGAGCAGAAUCACAGGAGAACGAGGAACCACAGGUUGAAGAUGGAUUACUUGCUCAACUUAGAAAAGCACUAGAAAAGAAAGACCAAGAGAAUAAAA